CUCUUAUCCAGAGAAGCGGAGGGACCGACCCUUUGAAGCUUCGGCAACCGAUUAGCAAUUAGCAAAUGGCUAUUAGCCAAAUGCAAAAGCCAAAACGGUGCCAAAUUCGGCAAAUAAGAAUAGCACAUGCUAUUUAUUAUCUGGAAGAUGAGAG
rnacentral:ncRNA from 2 species